rfam:Aedes albopictus isolate Foshan contig121382, whole genome shotgun sequence.
GACUCCGUAGCUUAUAGGAAUAGAAGCGCCCAUCUAGCGAAUUGGGAGUCGUGGGUUCGAGUCUCACCGGAGUAC